AACGAACGCUGGCGGCAUGCCUAACACAUGCAAGUCGAACGACACCUUCGGGUCUAGUGGCGCACGCGUGCGUCACGCGUGGGACCCUGCCCUUAUGUUCCGAAUAACUCCCCGAAAGGGGUGCUAAUACCGGAUAAUGUCUUCUGAUCACAGAUUGAUCGUCCUUGGAUGGGCCCGCGUUGGAUUAGCUAGUUGGUAUGGUAAAAGCCUAUCAAGGCUACGAUCCAUAGCUGGUCUGAGAGGAUGAUCAGCCACACUCGGACUGAGACACGGCCCAGAAUCCUACGGGAGGCAGGAGUGGGGAAUAUUGGAAAAUGGGCGAAAGCCUGAACCAGCAAUGCCGCGUGAGUGAUGAAGGCCUUAGGGUUGUAAAGCUCUUUUACCCGGGAUGAUAAUGACGGUACCGGGAGAAUAAGCUCCGGCUAACUCCGUG
rnacentral:rRNA from 1 species